UACGUAGGGAGCGAGCGUUGUCCGGAUUCAUUGGGCGUAAAGAGCUCGUAGGCGGCUUGGCAAGUCGGGUGUGAAAACUCCAGGCUCAACCUGGAGACGCCACCCGAUACUGCCAUGGCUAGAGUCCGGUAGGGGACCACGGAAUUCCUGGUGUAGCGGUGAAAUGCGCAGAUAUCAGGAGGAACACCGGUGGCGAAGGCGGCUUGCUGGGCCAGUUCUGACGCUGAGGAGCGAAAGCGUGGGGAGCGAACAGG
rnacentral:rRNA from 1 species